rnacentral:lncRNA from 1 species
GCUCUAAAACAGCGCACAGACCCGGGAACACUUGUCCCCUUGCAACUGCUCACCCCAUCUCCAUGAGUUCCUCCUUGCACUGACCCCCACCUGUGUGCACUCGCAUUUACUGUGCUCCCUAUCCUGCCAUGAGCUCAUGCUCGGUUUCUCAAGCUUAGGAUAAUGCUUCACUUCCCGUGUAGGAAGGUCUGGCCUCUAUUUUCAUUAAGGUCUUGUAUUAUUUCAAAGAAGUCUUCCGUAGCUACCCAAUCUAAAAUCAUCAGCCAUUCCCCUAAAUCACAUCACCUUAUGCCAUUUGAUUUCUCAGCACCUAUCACUGUCUGAUACUUUCCUUGUUUAGUUCUUCCUUAUCCCUGUCCAACACAGAUGUCAUUAAGAGCUGCAUCCCCAGGAUCUAGAAAAAGACCUGUUGCAUGGUAAACCCAGAGUUACUGAGUGAAUGCUUGCAAUUAUUGUAACCCCUGGCACAUUCUGGAUGUUCCAAAAAUGGAUCAGUUCUGGGGAUCAAACACAUGCCAAGUCAACGCUCUACCACUGAACUAUUCCCUCAGCUCUGUAUUUUUCUUGAAGAGAGCUCCUAAGUGUAAAUAAGCUUCAGGACCUAUAAACCCUGGCUCUGCCCCUAAGAAGAGAGCCAUUUACAGGCAAUGAAAACUGGAGAUAUGAAAAAGAAGGCAAGAGAAGGGACUAGGUUCUGGAAGAAGAGAUAAGAGUUGGACUAAAAAGUUGUUCCUGGGAAGGAAUGAUCACUCUCUCCACGCAGGAGGGCAGGGGCAUGAAGAGUUAGAGAAGACACAGGGCAAUGUGUCACACCAGGGAGCAGUUGAGAAACUUCAUGCAGAAUAAAUAACCUUGAUUUCGUCAAGGCAGGGUUGGAGCUUAACAAGACAGAUAAAUACAAAACCUAGAGGCAAAAGAGUGCUGGCAAAAUUUAUUAAAAACCUCAACCAUGGAGUCUAACCUGGAAGUCCAUGAAGAACCAUGAGAAGAGAACUGGGCAGAGUCCAGAAGUUUCCAGGAAGACCUAAUGUGAAAAAGGAAUGAGAGCAGCCACAGCCUGUGUGGUGGAAGAAUUUUCUAUUACAUGAAGUUUGUGAAG